UGCCAGGGUACUACGAACACAUGUUUAGAACUCAAAGAACUUGGCGGUGCUUUAGCCAGCUAGGGGAACCUGUCCUUUAAUUCGAUAGUCCACGAAAAUCUUACCUAUUUUAGCUAUCAGUUUGUAUACCGUCGUCGAAAGCUGGCACCAAAAGGGUUUAGCAGCCAGCAGAUAAGAUUUUUCUCUUGGAAGUCAGAUCAAGGUACAGCCUAUAAAUAGGGAGGAGAUGGGUUACAAUUAAUAAUUUCUAUUGGAGUUCUAAUGAAAUUUAGUUAAUGUAAAGAGGACUUAGAAGUAAUUUUUUAGUUAAGGUUAAAGAGUGAAAUAGGCUCUAGAGCGUGUACAA
rnacentral:rRNA from 1 species